rnacentral:rRNA from 1 species
GACAGAGGUUGCAAGCGUUGUUCGGAAUUACUGGGCAUAAAGCGCACGUAGGCGGUCCGCUAAGUCAUGUGUGAAAUCCCCCGGCUCAACCGGGGAAUGGCGCCUGAUACUGGCGGACUCGAGAUCGGUAGGGGUGAGUGGAACUGCGAGUGUAGAGGUGAAAUUCGUAGAUAUUCGCAAGAACACCAGUGGCGAAGGCGGCUCUCUGGCCCGAUACUGACGCUGAGGUGCGAAAGCGUGGGGAGCAAACAGG